UCUGCCCCCAUCGAGUCCCUCUCGCGUUGGGUGUGUGUGUUCCUAUUCAAGGACCCGCCACCUCCUGUCGUGCGAAAACCAGGAAGGAGGGAGCCAAGGGCUCGUCGCUGCCUGGACACCGGGGCGGCGAGCGAGGGAGACAACGAUGGAGGACAAGAGGAGGGAGGAGAGGGAUGGGAAGGCGGGAAAAGGAGCAUGGGGAGGGCGGUAAAAAAUAAUCCACCUCCCCAGGCCUUUGUUUAACCUGCGUCGAUGCAAAGAGGGGUCUUGGGGGUUUUUCCCUCCCCUUGUCCUUUUUUUUUCACCCUGUGCUUGAGCCUCAUGGGCUCAUGGGGCGUUUUCGAGGCUGACGGGGCAACUUUCCGGAGCGGGCGGUGUCGGAGGUUGAUUUUUGGGGAGGCGGCGGGCUCGUCCCGCAGGCGCGCGGCUCCGAGUGCAGGAAUUCCUGCCAGCUCGCCUUUGUGCCAGCCUCCGUUGGCCUUGGGUGUCUCGUUCGGAUGGAGCCUGGCAUCCAGGCACCGCCCAUUUCUUGGCAUUGAGCUGCGAGGAGAAGGAAAGGGGAGAGAGCGAGCGAGAGAAGGGAAAAAAAAAAGCUGUCUCACUCAAACUGGCCUUUCUCGGAAAAGGAUCCUUCCCCGAUGAUUGUCCGGAUAAGCGGAGCUAAAUCCAGCCACUACUCAACAACAAAACCACUCUCUUCCACGGACCUGAAGAGCAGCCAGUGCCUGGAUAAGGCUCGUCCCAGUUCCUGGAUAAGGCUCAUCCCACUUCCUGGAUAAGGAUCAUCCCAGUUCCUGGAUAAGAAUCAUCCCAGUGCCUUUAGGCUGCCACAGUCCCAAGCUGUCCUUGAGGCUGAGGUAGUAGAUUGAAUAGUUGUGGAGUCCGGUCCUCCCUCUGAGCUAACUAUACAAUCUACUGUCUUUCCUAAGGAGACAGUCAGAUCUUCAGCUCUGCUCAUCCACUUCUACGCCAGUGUGGGGGCAGGUGGUGCAAGCAAAGCAAAUCCCUGCCCGUGCUCGUCUGUUCUGCUCUGUGGAGGUGAGGUAGUAGGUUGUAUAGUUUGGUGGGAGGGAUUUGAUCCCAUUUCAGGUGAUAACUAUACAGUCUAUUGCCUUCCUUAAAGAGCAGCAAAACCACCGGAGGAGCUCCCGAGGCAUUCUUUUGUUGAGGAUCCAAAAACACAGCGUGGCAUUGUUAAACAACUCAGUGGGUGUUUCUCUUGCAGCAUCCAGACUUGCAUUCUUCCAGGAAUUGCUUCAUGCCUCAGGCACUGGAGCAUGGAGCCACCUGCUUCCAGGGAGCCCAACUCUCUCUAAGGUGUGAGAGAACCAGAGAAAUGAGUUUGCACAGCAGCUCCCAGUGUUCAGUGCUGUUCUUUUUUUGCAGGAGGUGGGCUCAAGUUGCAAAGUGUUUAAGUAUGUUGAUCUUUUCUGGUCUGUCCUCGGGUCUGGGGGGAGCAGAUUCUUUGGUAUAAAUGGGACAGAUCUGAGCUCGUGAUUUAAUUUUGUUGUGUCCAUUUCUGAAGUUUGGGUUCAGAACCAGACCCAAGGGCAAGCAGCCUGCAGACUCAGAGCCCUGGGAGCUGGUCAGAUUUGGCUGGUUGGCCCCUGCUCAGGAAGUGCAUUUUGUUUUGGACAAGUUCCCAGCCUGUCCCAUGGAACAGAGUUAGAGGGUGGUUCUUUCUGAUCUGAUAAUCACUUAUCAACUGAAUUCACUCACAUGCAAACCCUGUGAGGGAAGUUUAGGGCUCUUGGGCAUUUACAUAACAUGAGCCAAUGAUUCAAGCUAAAAUCUUGUCCUAAAGUGGAGACAGGUAGGGAAGAGAUGUGAGCCAAAGGGAGCAGAUCCUAAUCCUUGUGGGUUCUCCCAGGCACUGUCAGCUGACAGCAGACAUGGGAGAAGUCGUCAUGCUUCAGAGCUCUGGCCCUUGGCAAGGGACAGGGAAUUGUUAAUUCUUCUCUUUCUCAGGAGCAGAUGGGACUAUCCCUCUGCCGUUUUCCAGAGUAAGUAGGAUCAAGACCACGAGUGGAGCUGUAACAGGAUCAGGGCUGCGUUGGGAAGGACAUUUCAGGCCAUUAUCACGACCAUCUCACUGCCAGGGAGACGCGUGAGAUCCGAGACACCGGGGAGCGAGGGCAAGCAGAGGACACCUUCUCAGAUGAAGUGGGAGGGAGAGAGCAAAGAGAAAUUGGAGCCCUCAAAUUUCACCCUGAGCAAAAGCAGAGAGAGAGCCAGCCCUGGCUGCCAGGGCUGUGGGAGUCCCCAGAAUGAAGCAGCUCAUUUCAGCCCCUCUGCUGGGACAGGGCGUAGCUGCAGCGAGGCUGGGACACAGCUGGUGGGUGGGGAUGCUGCAGUUCCAAGCAGCGAAGGAAUGCAGCCCUCUCUCCAUAAAUCUGGCUUUUCAGCAGUCCUGGUGACUUGCUGUGCAAAGCUCAGCUUGGUCCUCUGAGCUGCAUUAUUAUCCUCCAGCUGCUUGCUCAGGGGCAGGGCUCCUGCCCACAGAUUGCUUGGAAGGCACCAAAAUAGCACCACAAGCAUGGGAACAGGGCAGCAUAUCCACUUCAUCUGGAGAGGUGUCCCCUGGAAAGGAGCUGAUCCCACAUAGCCCAGAUGGAAUCUGUUCAGUCCCCCUCCAUAACAUUGAUACUAAUGCAGAGAAUGUCAAACAGUGGAACUGUGUGAGCUGGAAGCCAUGAAUAAAAUAUUACUGGAGAUACUCCCUUGUGAAAAUAAACUUGGUUUGACUUUUUAAAAACA